rnacentral:rRNA from 1 species
AUUGAACGCUGGCGGCAUGCCUUACACAUGCAAGUCGAACGGUAGCGGGCCUUCGGGUGCCGACGAGUGGCGAACGGGUGAGUAAUACAUCGGAACGUGCCCGAUCGUGGGGGAUAACGAGGCGAAAGCUUUGCUAAUACCGCAUACGAUCUACGGAUGAAAGCAGGGGACCGCAAGGCCUUGCGCGGACGGAGCGGCCGAUGGCAGAUUAGGUAGUUGGUGGGAUAAAAGCUUACCAAGCCGACGAUCUGUAGCUGGUCUGAGAGGAUGAUCAGCCACACUGGGACUGAGACACGGCCCAGACUCCUACGGGAGGCAGCAGUGGGGAAUUUUGGACAAUGGGCGCAAGCCUGAUCCAGCCAUGCCGCGUGCAGGAUGAAGGCCUUCGGGUUGUAAACUGCUUUUGUACGGAACGAGAAGCCUUCUUUUAAUACAGGAGGGUCAUGACGGUACCGUAAGAAUAAGCACCGGCUAACUACGUG